rnacentral:rRNA from 1 species
UGCCAGCCGCCGCGGUAAUACGGAGGGUGCAAGCGUUAUCCGGAAUCACUGGGUUUAAAGGGUGCGUAGGCGGAUAAAUAAGUCAGAAGUGAAAGCUCACCGCUCAACGGUGGAAUUGCUUUUGAUACUGUAUAUCUUGAAUUAGGUUGAGGUUAGCGGAAUGUGGCAUGUAGCGGUGAAAUGCAUAGAUAUGCCAUAGAACACCAAUUGCGAAGGCAGCUAGCUAGGCCUAUAUUGACGCUGAGGCACGAAAGCGUGGGGAGCGAACAGGAUUAGAUA